ACAACGACUCUCGGCAACGGAUAUCUCGGCUCUCGCAUCGAUGAAGAACGUAGCGAAAUGCGAUACGUGGUGUGAAUUGCAGAAUUUUGUGAAUCAUCGAGUUUUUGAACGCAAGUUGCGCCCGAGACCUCUAGGCUGAGGGCACGCCUGCCUGGGCGUCACG
rnacentral:rRNA from 1 species